UACCCAGUGCUCGAUACUGUUGUUGCACAUUUUCUGAGGUUCCUUAAGGAUGAAAGAAUCAUGCCUGUGAUAUGGCACCAAUCACUUCUUGCAUUUGUCCAAAGGUAUAAGAAUGAACUGGAGAAGAAGGACAAGGAUAAUUUUGUUCGUCUAGUUCAAUACCAGAAACAUCAUUUGGUUACUCCCGAAAUCCAUAGAGAGCUUAAAAAUAGCCGAAAUCGUGGUGAAAAGGAGGACGAUAUCAUGUCAAUAUAUA